rnacentral:rRNA from 1 species
GACGAACGCUGGCGGCGUGCUUAACACAUGCAAGUCGCGCGCCUCGCAAGGGGAGCGGCGGACGGGUGAGUAACGCGUAGGAAUGUGUCCAGAGGUGGGGGACAACCCCGGGAAACUGGGGCUAAUACCGCAUAUGUCCUGAGGGACAAAGCAGUAAUGCGCCUUUGGAGCAGCCUGCGUCCGAUUAGGUAGUUGGUGGGGUAAUGGCCUACCAAGCCUGCGAUCGGUAGCUGGUCUGAGAGGAUGAUCAGCCACACUGGGACUGAGACACGGCCCAGACUCCUACGGGAGGCAGCAGUGGGGAAUAUUGGACAAUGGGCGCAAGCCUGAUCCAGCAAUGCCGCGUGGGUGAAGAAGGUCUUCGGAUCGUAAAGCCCUUUCGACAGGGACGAUGAUGACGGUACCUGUAGAAGAAGCCCCGGCUAACUUCGUGCCAGCCGCCGCCGUAACAC